CAAAGAGUAGUUUUAUAUAAAAUAGUAGACUUGGGAUUUACAGAAAGCAAUGUUCUCUUUGA
rnacentral:tRNA from 1 species